UUAAGAGCCUAUGAAUAUCAGGUGUAUCACUUCAUCGGACAGGUGGGUAAAGCGCGCGUAUGCAACUUCAGUCUUGAACUGUUUAGAUAUCAUCUCGUCUCGGGGGCUGUUUUGUGCUUUUUCAUUCAAACACGAACAUGUGUGGACUUUUUACUGGACUGCUGAGGUCUCGCCAGGCUCUUGCUCCCAGGGCACGUGUAAUAUUUCAGCAGCGAGCAGGUUUUAUUAACAGCAAACCGCCAAAAGAUAACAUUGGUGUAAUGGUGAGUUCACUCUCUCUUACCGAUAAUUAUGCGUUGGAAAUGUAAUUAAUUGUCAUUAAAAAUAACAAAUAAAUGGUACCAAAGAGCCGUAACAAGGUUGUUUUCUGCAGGAAUCUGCCUUUGUGAUGACAGUGAUGACUUUGGCCGUCCUCGGACCUUCUGGUUGGAUACUUUCCCACUUGGAUGACUACAAAGGCCGUGACUGAUGGAUGAGGGCCCUGAGAACACCGGCUUAAACUGAUCUUUGCACCCUUUUCUUUUUUGUAACAAUAAAGUUGUACAUUUCCACAGUCGCACUUGCCCGUGUCUUUUCUGUACGGUGGCCGAGAACCGCCA